rnacentral:lncRNA from 1 species
AAAAAUUCAUUUUUUAUUUGUAAAACUUUUAUGAAUUUUCAAAAAAUUUUAAAAAUUUGAAUCCAAACCCGAGAGCGGAUCCAAAAUACGAACCUGGCGGAUUUUGAAAAUUUACAUACAAAACCGAAUCCAACCGUAAACCCAAAAAUCUGAAUCCGAAAUAAUUAUUUCUCUUUAUAUAUUUAAAAAAUAUUAUAUUAAAUCUAAAAUUUUAAAAUAUAAAUUUAAAUAUAGCAUUAAAUAUUUUUAUACAUUAUAUAUUAUAAAAUUUAUUUAAAUUUAGGUUAGAUAAAAACAAAAUUCAUACCCAAAUACGAAUUAGUCGAGUUUUUAUUUUUUAUAUAUGUAUUCAUUUAAUAUUAAAUAAAUACAGUUUCAUUCGGAUUUGAAUUUGGAUAAAAUAUAGAUUAUCCAUAUCCACCAACCUCCGUAAGUUA